GAAUUAAAUAAUGGCAUUUUGGUAACUCUAUUGCUUUGCAAGGGUGAAUAUAUUAGGCGGUCAAACACUGUCGAGAAUCCUCCGAGCUUCUCAGGAGCCCCAAAACCUUAAUAUAUACAUACGAUUGUACUGACAACAACGCGAUUGAUCUUCGUAAAUUUCUCAAACCCUAAAUCCUCAAGUGAUUACCUGCUCGAAAGGCGUUGCUGGUGGAAGAAAAAGGAUGAAUAAUAGUUCCCAUUUGAAUGCAUAAUUUUUGGUCCAAUUUGCAAAUUUAUAAUUCAGUUAGUGCCCCAACUGUGUUUAUUCGCAUUGUUGUGUGAGUUUUGACUCUAUUAAGAUUGGGGGUCUUCUUCAAUUAGAGGACCCUACAGAUUGGGAUCAUACAGUUGAGGUAACGGUUUCUGAGGGGUUUGUUGGUUGGGUUUUCUAUAAAAAUGCCAGCUGUACAGAAGCUUUAUAAUGCGUGUAAAGCAUCUCUUUCGCCGAAUGGACCCGUGUCAGAAGAGGCUCUCGACAAAGUUCGCAAUCUAUUAGGUAAAAAGAUAAUAAAUAUUUGUCGUCAUUUAUUUUGCAUAUCACAUUUUUAAUCAUGAUUCCUCCUAAAUGUUAAAUGAGAAUUGGUUUGUUGUAUUAAAUUAAAUGACAUUUUUAUGCUGAAUAAACAUAUUUAACGUGCAAUCUAUCUGCACAAGUAUUAUAUGAGUUGGUUAUGUAUUUGCCAUUUGCCAGCACCAGUUGAUGAAUAUGGAAAUAUAAUUGGGCUCUUUUGGUAAGCAAGAAUAACUUGUUAACUUUUAUGUUAUUUAGGCCCCGCUUGGUACACAUUAAUGUAAAAAUGAGAAUGAAAAAUAUAGCCGUUACGAACCCACACAAGAGAUAGAAAGUCAAAUAUAGUGGCUUGAUGUGAUGGAUAACGGUCAUAUUUUUCAUUUUAAUGAGCUAAUAAUCGGAAACAAAUGGGGGCUUGCUAGAGCUGCUGUGUAUAUAUAUAUUUUUUAAUCAAUAAUGGAAUUAUAUUUCGUGCUUCCUGAAUACACUGAUGGACACAAGAGUUCAGAUUACACGAAAUAUGUAUAUCUAGUAUUUAUUUGAAUUCUCCCUGAUUUAUUUGUGUAAAUUUACAUUACAUUUAGCAUUGGCUGAUUAGAUCUCCUCUUGUCUGUGUAAAUGCAAUGUAAUGAUUUUGUUGAUGUAAAAUCUAAUAUAACUGUUUUAAAAGGGAGAUAAUUGUGGCAGUUGAUGAUCCCAUUGCCAACAGAAAAGUUCUGCUCGUGUAAAAUGACAGUCGUGUCUCCAGCACAAUAUAGCUGCCAUGUGCACUAUCAUGGCGAUAUGACAGUAGUGGAUAAUGCUCUGCUUUAGAUAUUUUCUAUGUAAACUUUGGAUAUGCCAGUAGAUUUUAUGUUGGGCUAGGUUUUACAAGCACUAGAGUUUGACUCCUUAGGAAUUCCUCUGAGUCUAUAAAACAAAGAGGUUGGUGUUCAUUUUUCAAUUUAACUUAUGAACCUCUUGAUUUUAUGUUUCCUUGCCUUUUAGGUCAUCAUUAUAGCAAUGGUCACCUUUGGUUGGGAUUCUGAUUGGAUGAGUAAUAGUUUCACUUUGGCACAUUGAACAGCUUAAGUAUUGGUGUAGUUAUUUACAAGAAUUAUAUUGGUUUGAUAUAGUCUGGGUCUUUCAGCUCUCAAAACCAAGUUUUUCUAAGUUAAUGCCAAAAUUCAACUCUAUUGUGUCUAUAGUGUUCUUGCAGUAAUCUCUGUAACUCUUUCAACAUCUUCAUGGGCUCUUUAAUGUGCAUAUGCACAUUAUUUUUUCCCAUCCUUAAAUAGAAAUUUGAUUAGAUUUAUUCUUGCAUCCUCAAGUGCAAUUUCACUAGAAUUUCAUAUGCGAAUUUAAAAGCUUGGAUUAGUGGCUUAUCCAAAUUUUUAGUGUUCAAUUAUUUUAGUAGCUAGUACUUGUGGGAUCAAGGUAAAUACAGCAUAUGAUUACCAAUAAUUCUACUAGUAGAUGUUAUCAACAUUAUUCACCACUAUGCAUUGCACCACCUGAGUUGUACAUCCAAAAUAAACCGAGAAUUUGGACAUCGAUUAGGGCUCUAUUAGCGUUAUUCUAAGUCAUGACUUGCUAUUUGUUCAAGAUUAUUUACUUCACUUUCUUCAAAUCUUGUUCAUUAUCUUGAGAAAUGUAAUAUUUGUUUCUCUUUGUCAAAUUUUUGGUGGACGCAAUGUGCUUGCGUGGAAGAAAUAAUUUUCUGCACGGUCGAGAAAAGUUAUGUGUGUGUAACGUUGUAUAAUAUGGCUUGCUGCUUCUUUCUGUGUUUGGUUUCUUUUUCGGUUAAGAAUAAUAGCUUAUAGGAAGUGGGAACAGAACAUUGAAUUGAGACUAUUCUGUGUCAACUUUGUUAUGAAUUUCUCAAUAUUGGGCCUUCUCUGACAAGAUUGAACUUCAUUUUUAUUUUUUUUUGGGUUACUUUUUAUUGUCAUGUGCUGUCUGCAAUUCCUCAAGUUGUGCACAGUAUCUUCAUUUCUGAAUUCUGAUCAUGUUAGUCCACUAACAAGGAAAAACAUAGCUUCAUACUGUGUUGGAGCACUAAAAACAUUGCAAUGAGCCCACUUUAGGAUUAUGGUGUUAAAAUAUGUAGAGAUUCAAGAAAUGAAUGCCAGCCUUGGAUGUUUUAAUUCAAUUGGUUUUUAGAAUUAACUAGUUGUAUGCUUCCAGGAAUAGUGACAAUUAUGGAAGAAAUGGCUGUAAGAGUGGUUUAAGAAGACCUCCUACUUGAUAGGUUGUGUGUAAGUAUGAUGUGUUACGUAUGGAGACAUUUGUAUGCUUGUGCAUGUCACAGAGGGAGCACGAACUUGAUAAGCUAUGGAUAAGUAAGUGUACAUGAAGUACAUCAGAACAAAUAGUCUCCAUUGUGCAGAAUCUGUUUGGCAUGACGUGGAUAUAUAUUGCUUUCGGGAACUUAUCUGUAUAUGCUUGUGCAUAUCACUAGGUGAAAGCUGAUUUGCUCACUACAUUGUUUUACUAGUUAAAAAUUUGUUCUACAAAUUGCCCAGCUCUAUUUAUAUACUUUGCAUAGACCUAGGGAUUUAAGCUCUGUAUACCGGCGAUCUCUGUGAGAGAGAAAUAUUGAACAUUUCCAUGAAAUCUGAACUACUUUCUCGUGAUACUCAGUAAAUUGGAAUGGAUAAGAGGUGUUGUUUUCAUGGCUAUGAUUUUAUUCUACUGAUUUCCUUUAUGUAAUGGUUUAAUUUUCUGCUUCAAAAGGCAAACAAAGGCACUACAGAAAUAUGGGACUACAUUGUUUUUCGAAAUAUUGAGGAAAAUUAUUUUCUAUUCCUUAGAUCUUCUUUUCGAUUCUCUGUGUAAAUUGAUUAAAGAAAAAAUCAUCACUUUCACCCUCUAGUGCUCUCAUCUUUUUAAUGGGUUACGUUCUUCCUUCAUCAAAGAUACUUUAAAAUGAUUGAGCAAGCUUUGGCAGGAGAAUACCUUUGGAUUCCAAGAUAUUCUUGCUGAAAUGCAAGAUAUUACAUGAUGG